rnacentral:rRNA from 1 species
AUUGAACGCUGGCGGCGUGCCUUACACAUGCAAGUCGAACGGUAACAGGUCUUCGGAUGCUGACGAGUGGCGAACGGGCGAGUAAUACAUCGGAACGUGCCCGAUCGUGGGGGAUAACGAAGCGAAAGCUUUUCUAAUACCGCAUAAGAUCUACGGAUGAAAGCAGGGGACCGCAAGGCCUUGCGCGAACGGAGCGGCCGAUGGCAGAGUAGGUAGUUGGUGGGAUAAAAGCUUACCAAGCCGACGAUCUGUAGCUGGUCUGAGAGGACGACCAGCCACACUGGGACUGAGACACGGCCCAGACUCCUACGGGAGGCAGCAGUGGGGAAUUUUGGACAAUGGGCGAAAGCCUGAUCCAGCCAUGCCGCGUGCAGGAUGAAGGCCUUCGGGUUGUAAACUGCUUUUGUACGGAACGAAAAGACUCUUUCUAAUAAAGAGGGUCCAUGACGGUACCGUAAGAAUAAGCACCGGCUAACUACGUGCCAGCAGCCGCCGUAACAC